CCUACGGGUGGCAGCAGUGGGGAAUAUUGGACAAUGGGCGCAAGCCUGAUCCAGCAAUGCCGCGUGAGUGAUGAAGGCCUAGGGUUGUAAAGCUCUUUUACCCGGGAGACUGUACCGGUAGAAUAAGCCCCGGCUAACUCCGUGCCAGCAGCCGCGGUAAUACGGAGGGGGCUAGCGUUGUUCGGAAUUACUGGGCGUAAAGCGUACGUAGGCGGUUUGUAAGUUAGAGGUGAAAGCCCGGGGCUCAACCCCGGAAUAGCCUUUAAGACUGCAUCUUGAAUCGGGGAGAGGUAGUGGAAUUCCGAGUGUAGAGGUGAAAUGCGUAGAUAUUCGGAAGAACACCAGUGGCGAAGGCGGCUCACUGGCGGUAUUGACGCUGAGGUACGAAAGCGUGGGGAGCAAACAGGAUUAGAUACCCUUGUAGUC
rnacentral:rRNA from 1 species